ensembl:lncRNA
AUUGCAUGUCUUCUCACUCUGUGUUGCUUGAGCACUCUCAUGGCCUCUUGUGUUCCCCUGCAACAAGCUGUGCCAUAUAGCUGGAUUCUCAAAUCCACCCUGUGUGAUCUGCCUGCUGGAGAGUCUGGAGCCAUGGAACAACAGGGUAUGUACUACGAUUGAUUCCAGUGCAUCAUGACAUUUACAAAAGUGCUUUUUGAAAGAAGGCUACUAAGAUAGAUGAAUAGGAAUUACCUUCUGAAAGACAUACAAGUAUUUCUGUGCAUUUUGGAAUUUGGGGUUUGCACCCAGUUCAAGUGAUAGCCACCACAUGUGUACAAACCAGGAGCCUCUCCUCCCAUAUGUGCAACCUCUCAAGUGGUGCUUGGAGAUCAGUCCUAUGUUGAUGAAGAGAUGCAUUCUUUCUGACAUAGCCACAUUUCUCACUUGACAAGAAGGCAUUGUUAAUAAGCCGUAUAUACGACUUGGAUAAGCAAGCCAUUCGCCUCCAGAACAGUCCUCUUCUACUUCAAUACCUCUGCCUGUUGGAUAGGCUUGACCUGAACAGUAGUCAGCAACAAAAAGUGCACCUAAAGUGAAUUGUGAUCAGUGGGAAGUAACUGAAGUGAAAUAUUUUCGUACAGAGGUCAUCAUUUUCUCAUGGAAAAUGGAAUCGUAUCAACUCAGGAUAAUCUCACUCAGGACAGCAGGAACCGUCCACUCCUACGUCGCUGUAGACAAUGGGAGACAGCAAAGAGGGAAAAGAUAGUGAAUGAAACAUCAGUUAAUGGAAAUAUUUCUUGCACUGGACAAGAAGGGCAACAGAUAUAAUUUAUCUGGACUUAUGCAAGGCCUUUGACAGAGACCAACACCAGUUUGUUAUCUCUCUAUAUUGGAGAGCUGUGGAUUUGAAGGCUGGGCUACUUGAUGGACAAAGAAUUUGUUGGAUGAUUGCAGUCAGAAGGAUGUAGCCAAUGGCUCUGUGUCCAAGUGGAGGAAGUUUCAGACAGCCACACAGAAUUUUACAAUUGCACCACGCAGACAGACUCUUGUUCAUCACUGGCAAAAGUAAAUAGUUUAUGGUAGUGACUAUGCUGAAAAAUAGUGUUCUGUAGCUGAAAAUUUGCUCUGACAAAUAGUGUUAUUGUGAUCUUUCUAGCUACUGUAGUUUCCAUGGGAAUAAGUAGGAGGUAUUACUUUCAGAGCAGUCUCUGUAUUUAGGCUCUAAUUGAACAAAAAUAUGUGUACUAAUAUCUUUGCAUGGCAAUAUGCAUUAUCUAAGUAUUGCAAUCAGAAUAUUCUGUCAUACUUGCCAAUUUACUGGGAUCUGUUGUGUUUCUGAUGAAUACUGACAAAAACAAACUGCAGUUCCCUUAGAGACUGCUGAUAUAUUUGAACUUUUGUCUGCUCAAAAAAAAGGUAGAGUAAUAAAUUAUGUGAGUUCUGACUCGUUUAAACCCUGUGGCUAUGUCCCACAAGCAAUAUCUACAUUUUAAUAUAGAAAUGUGAAUAUUUGAGUUGUUACCAACAGCAGUGGGCUCAAAUGCACUGUCAAAGGUAGAUUUAGAUGUAAGGCUUAGAUUUUGACAGUAGGCUGUGGCUUAUUAGACAAGAGUUAGCAGGUCCUUGGUUCUCACUAUGGGUACAGCCAGUUCCCAUGGGAAAGGAAGUCCAGUUUCGUGGCUCUGUUUCAGUAUUCCAGAAUCUCUUAUUUCACCUAUGGGAGAUGUAGAACAAAGAAUUAGGAAACCUACUCCUGUGCUUCUUAGAGCCAACAAACCAUUUUCUGCCUUGGGCCAGUGACUCAGUUUAUUUAAGCUUGCCUGUUGGCCUUGAUUAUGUGUUUACUUAUAUCCAUGCCAUUUCUAGGUGUGACAGCAUUCAUAGAGGUUGUUAGAUAGCUCCUCUGUCAGAUAGCUUUAAUGAUGCUGUGAAGAAGCUCAGCCCUGCCAUCGUAGUGCAGCUUAGCUACUCAAACACUCUUUUGGUCCUGCUACUUCAGGUAAUGUGACCUACAUCUGGGACCUACAGAAGACGGAUAACUACUGAGUUCAACAGCUUUGCAAGCUGUCUAGAUUAACCUCCGUGACAGCAAAGGUAUAACAAUUCUUUUUCCAUGCAACCAUCUUUUCCCUUCAGUCCCUAUUAAGGAUGUAGACAUUACAGUAGUGAUGGCUCACUUUGAGCUGGGACUUUCAUAGAAUCACAGAAUGGCUUAGGUUGGAGGGGACCCUAAAAAUCACCUAGUUCUACCCCCCUGCUAUGGGCAGUGUUUCUGUCCACUAGGUCAGGCUGCACAGGAUCCCAUCCAACCUAGGCUUGAGUGCCUCCAGAGAUGGAGCAUCCACAACCUCUCUGCGCAGGCUGUUCUAGUGCCUCACCACUCUCUAAGUAAAAAAUUUCUUCCUAACUUCUAACCUAAAUCUCCCCUCUUUUAGCUUAAAGCUAUUCCCCCUUGUCCUAUCACUGUCAGACCAUGUAAAAAGUUGGUCUUCCUCCUGUUUAUAAGCUCCCCUUAAGUACUGGAAGGCCCCAGUGAUGUCACCUCAAAGCCUUCUCCAAACUAAACAAAGCCAACUCCCUCAGUCUUCCUGCACAGGAGAGGUGCUCCAACCCUGUGAUCAUCUUCUUGGCCUCCUCUAGACCCACUCCAACAGCUCCUCAUCCUUCCUGUAUGGCAACCAAUUCUUACACUUGACUAAGUUUUUCUAUUGCAAUUGGAUGAAACAGGGACACAGUCAACCACAACCACGUGGCAGCAGUCAGAAUUAAAUAUACCAAACUCCAGCACAGAGAGAUUAGUACUAUUUAGAACUGCUCUUCUACCAAGAAGCAGAUUAUGAAAAUAAGUGCAUAACAAUGCAGUUUGUCAUUUGUCACCAGCAUGUAUUGUCUGUAAAAUGCCACAGCCCUUAAGAAGCACAGGAGGGACAUUACAGGAGUAUGAAGGAGAAGAGGAAGAAACAGAGGGCUUGAUAACUGAAAGCUAAAGAGUCUGGCAACUGCAGAUAAGCACUCACCUAACAAGAUGCUUAUUGCUUAAUCUAUGAGGAAGUAUCUUGAGACAGGUAAGAGGUCUGGCAUGCUACUGAAUUUAUUAAAUAUCCUUUUUUAUUUUUUUGCUUCUAAUUCCUCUUUGGAUCUUAAAUCUGUGCUUUCAGAGAGGCAGAGAACUGCAUCUUGGCACAGAAUGGCACAGACCUUUGAGCACCUGUCUAAAAGAAGAAAUUCCACUUGUUUUGAUAAAUCUUACUUUUUUGCAGGACAUCUGCAAUGUGAGCAGAAAUGGAACUACCUGUGCCUCAUCGCUAGAAUAAAAGGUACCACUUCUGUUUAAAAAAAUUAAUUAAAAAACGUACCUUAUGAUCUUUGCUUUUCCUUAAUAAAUGUUAGUAGUUAUAAGAAUGAAAAUAUUGAAUAAUUACACUUGAUACCAUUCAAGGCUUCUCUCUAUUGUCAGGAAAACCAGAGAAAUGCAGAGGUGUAUACUGGAUAAGGGUUGUUUUAAAAGCAUAGUGAAGAGAGGGGAGUACACAAACAAGACAAUGAGACAGUUUAUUGAUUGCAGCCACAGAAGUCAACACUAGAGUAUCCAUCCCUGGGAAGUUCAAAGAAGUGUGGAUAUAGUGUGAAUUUAAGUAAGACUGUGGUUACACUGUAGUUUGUAUCUUCUGGCAAUCAAAUAAUUUGGUUAGAAACCAUGUUUUCUGUGCUUAGCAAAAAAAGACAUCAGAAGUUUUGCUUUGUUUUUGAAAUGCUGAAAGCAUUAAAAUGAAUAAACAAUAGCAUGGUUUAAU